UGCAUUUGGAAAGAUUAAUUGAUUAGGGAUAGUCAGCAUGGCUUUGUGCAUGGGCAAUCGUGUCUCAUGCAUUUGAUUGAGUUUUUUGAAGACGUAAUGAAGGUCAAGGAGGGAUAGGUGGUAGGCAUAGCCUAUAUGGACUUCAGCAAGUUCUUGUAAGGUUCCACAUGGUAGGCUAUUGGAUCCAGAGACUGCUAACUAAUUGAGCACAUAAUUGGCUUGAUGAUAAUUGAAGCGGAGGCAUAUAACACGUGGUGUGCCUUAGGGUCAGUGCUCGCCCUAUUAUUGUAUGUUAGCGAUGAGAUGAGAAUGUACAAGACAUGAUUAGUAAGUUUGCAGAUGACACUAAAAUAGGUUGUAUCAAAGAUUGUUAUCAAAAAUUGUGGCAGGAUUUUGAUCAAUAGACAAUAGGUGCAGGAGUAGGCCAUUCGGCCCUUCGAGCCAGCACCGCCAUUCAAUGUGAUCAUGGCUGAUCAUCCCCAAUCAGUACCCUGUUCCUGCCUUCUCCCCAUAUCCCCUGACUCCGCUAUUUUUAAGAGCCCUAUCUAGCUCUCUCUUGAAAGCAUCCAGAGAACCUGCCUCCACCGCCCUCUGAGGCAGAGAAUUCCACAGACUCACCACUGUCUGUGAGAAAAAGUGUUUCCUCGUCUCUGUUCUAAAUGGCUUACUCCUUAUUCCUAAACUGUGGGCCCUGGCUCUGGAGCCAACUGGUUCAGUUGGCUAACGAACGGAAAAUGGGUUUAACUCAGAUAAGUGCAAGCUGUUGCACUUUUGGUAGUCAAACUAGGAUAGAACGUUCACAGAUAAUAGUAGGGCCAUGGUGAGUGAUGUACAAACAGAGGGACAUUGGAGUACAAAUAGUUUCCUGAAGGUGGUAUCACAGGUAAAUGGGGUGAAGAGCAUUGGGUACAGGAGUUUGGAUGGUAUGUUGCAGUUUUUGCACUUGGUGUUGUAGGAAAGAUACUAUUAAGCUGGAACAGUGUGGAAGAGAUUUGGAAGGAUGUUGCCAGAACUCAAGUAGAGAAAGUUUGGGGAAGCUGUAACUUUAUACCUAAGUGCGUAGCAUAGACAGGAUGAAAGCAAGCCUGUCUCGCAGGGAUGGGGAAUCAGGGACUAAAGAGCAUCAACUUAAGGUGAGAGAACAAUUUAAUAGGAACCUGAGAGGCAACCUUUAUUCACAGAGUGAUAUGUACUGUGUAUAAAACAAUCUGCUAGAGAAAGUGGUUGAGGCAGUUACAGUAACAUUUAAAAGACAUUUGGACAGGUACAUGCAUAGGAAAGGUUUAGCGGGCCAAAUGCUGAAAAAUGCAUGGCUAAUGCAUGGAUGCUGAAGGGCCUGUUUCUGUGCUGUACGAUUCUGAUUGUUGGUGAUUUCUGACAGAAGAGGCUUCACUAAUGCCACAUCUGGGACCAGCUGUUAUUUUCACGAUGGUAUGCUCAAGCAAGAUCAAACAACUCUCAUUGUUUGUGAAUAGGAAACGUCUUCUUCUUUAGCCCUUUGCUCCUGUAGGGAGCAUAGGGCAUUGACAAAUGUCCUUCACCUCACUAGGUUAUUGGCAGUUCUUUCGAGAUCUCCCCAGUUGAGCCCACUCAGACAUUUCUGUCUGGACACCUCUUCUCCAGCUGUUCCUGGGGCGACCUAUUUUUCUUUUUCCUUGAGGGUUCCAUUUUAAGGCUUGCCGGAUGAUGUUUGUGGCAGGUUUCCCGAGGAUGUGUCCAAUCCAACUCCAUUUCCUCCUUCAAAUUUGUAAGUCAAUGGGCUCCUGGCUUGUUCUUUUCCACAGAUCCACAUUGCUAACUUUGUCUCUCCACCAGAUGUUAGCCUUUCUAGCGUCCUUUGUCAUCAUGAUUGCCACUCCCUCUGUAUGCUUCGCUCCCUCCUCUUCCUGUCCGGAGUAGAUAAUGGACUGCCCGCUGACCAAUUUGAUCUCCCCUGACUGUGUCCAUCUUGUUUUAGCCAAGCCCAGGACUAAGAGAUUGUAGCGCAGCAUUUCGUUGACAAUUGUGGCAGCCUUGCCAGCCUGGAACAUGGUUCGGAUGUUCCAUGUCCCCACAAGAAUGGAUUUCUUUGGCGUCAGUAGGUAUGUCAGCUUCCCAGCGCCCUUGUGGGUUUGGCUGGGAAACAUCAUGUUCCCCAUCGCUGGGGCACCUUUUUCCAACCAAGUGUGUAAUUUGGUUUUCAUUCGUCAAUGUUUCUGUAACUCGCACCUUUUUCCAGGAUGGGGUAGUUAACCCCACGCCCAACCCCCAACCUGGAGGACCAGGGACUGCUUAGUCUGCCCCCUCACCCGAGACCUGUCCAGUUCGGUUAAACCUGCCAGGGAUAUGAAACCCAUCCGACAUAGCUCUCAGGAUCACUGGAGUACACAAGCCUCUCCUCCACGUCAAGGUUUCAAUCCAGGAGAGGGAAUAGGAAACUGGGCCAACUUAAUCUAUUGUGUUUUAAUAUUGUCAAAUACCUACCUUUCAAAUCUGAGGCAAAAGUACGCACUUCCUGUCCAUUAAUGUUUUAUAACUCUCCUUGGCUUCUGCAUCAAAGUUACUAGGCAGGCGGAAUCUUCCACUACUCCCAGUGCACCUCUUUAUGGAAAUUUAGUGCUAAAAUCUGAGUUAUGCUAUCUAAUGUCAUCAUGGCCAUUUAUUCCCCCACUUUGGAACCCCAGUCUGUCCAGAGAUCAUUGCAAAAAGCUCAUUAAUUUUCCAAAUUAUUUCCAUGAAAGGCUGGCAUUAAUAAAGCCUAUGCUUUUUUGUAUUAUGGUUAAUUAUAAUUCCCUCUACAUAUGAUACCCAUACACAUUUUGAAUUUAAAUUAUGCAUGAUCAUAUCCUGUUAGAUCUUGUUUUGUCUCAACUAAACUCAAUCUUAUCUAUACACUUUUACCAACACACCCUCUCUUAAGUAAUAUGUCCAUCGAUGCCCACUAAUUUAAAUUUACUUUUGCCUGUUUGUGCAUUUACACUGUGUGAAAUAAAAUACAAUACACUUAUUUCUACAUCCCUACCCAAAUACACUUAUUCUCUCCCCCAGCCUAAAAACAUUAAUUUUGCAUUCUAACUUCAUCUUCAAUUACACUUAUCACACUAUCAACCAUCUUUUAAACCUACAUAUAAAUUCACUGUAUUUUCUUUGGAAAUCUCAGACUAAAUUGUCUGGUUGUUGCCACCAUUUAUAUUUCGUAGGAAGGGGCUGGAUGUAUUCUUGUUCCAAUUUUCCUGCAAAUUUUAAUCUUUCCGACCAUAUUGGGCUAGUUACUUUUCCCAGCUGCCUUCAACCCAAGUUCUCUUUACCUUUCAUGCAGGGCUUUUGUCAACGUUGCUACAUAUUUUUAAAGCACCUACUGCACGCAUUCAUUAAACUUUUGGGUGUGGUUGUGGGUAAAGUGUGCCUUGGCAAACAGCCUUUGAUAGAGUUCCAAGUCAGAAAAAACAUGGUUUGAGGUUUUUGCAUUCCUUAUCCAUUACUUGGCAAUAUAGAGUAUGAACCUGGAGAACUGUUAAUAAAAACAUAGAAAGCAACAUGCCUUGCAUGCUUAAUGCUUUGAUAUUUGUUUUGUUCUUUCUGGAAUACAACACAGCCUCUAAACAUUACAUACCUCAAUAGCUCUCGCUGGUGAAUGAAUGUAUUACUUUUUUUUCAAAUCAAACGUGUCUGUUUAAAAAUUCAAAACUAUCUUAACUGGAACUAUGUAUGUAGAGUGAUUUCCAAUAAACUUUCUUGAAUUGCUUCCCAGUGAUUCUUAUUUUAAGGUCAAUAGCACUAAGUAAGCAAUUUGAGGAGGAGAAAAAUAAAUUAUACCAAUUAAUCUGGUGAAAUAAAUCUUUUCUUUUUUUUUUUUUUUUUUAAACUGGAUUUACAGCAGCCUCAGUUCACUCCAAUCAUGCUUCUUCCUUUAUUGACAAGCCUAUUGAUUAUAAUCAUUAAUUUCAAAAUGGGUUGGGUGUAGAAUAGGGAAACGUGCAUGUUAUGUGAUUGUAGCUAACUAAUAUGACUUACCAUAUCUCCCUGUUGCUCCUGAACGGUUUAGGGUUAUAAAAUCUGAAGAAGGUUCUCCACCCGAAAUGUCACCCAUUCCUUCUCUCCAGAGAUGCUGCCUGACCCGCUGAGUUAUUCCAGCAUUUUGUGUCUACCUAGAGUUAUAAUGAUCUGCCCUUUGCUUUCAAGAAAUGUGGACACUUUUGCACUCAACUAAUGACAACCGAUGAACCAAAAUGUUAUUGUUAAAUAUUAGAAAUUAUAUUUUACAUAAAAUUUACAAAAUAACUGAAAUUUGCUUUUACAUGGUGGGAUAGAACAACUUUUGUUUAUCACAUUCCUUAAAUCAGCAUUUUCAGUAGUAUUCGCAACAGUUUAGGCACAUACUGGUAAGUGUACAGUUUAACUAGGAGGAAAACUAAGGCACAUGGAAAUGUGUGAUGUAAGGUAUGUUCACAUUUCUUCAAGUACUGCAGUAAAUACUAAUGCAUACUUGUUUUAAAAAAAAUAAACAAACUCAAGAACCAUCAAUAGCUUUUUAUAAAAGGCUAUUCUAUCAUGCCAUCAUGAGCUCUACAGCACUUGUUUAAAAAUAAUUAAAUCGGAGUACAAACAGCUCUUAAAUGGAUUAGCUCUUAAGUGGUUCCUAAAUACUUGCUGCAUCAAAAGAUCACUACUAAAUUCACAUUAAAAAAAGUUCAAGCAUUUUUCAAUGUAUUUACAUACUUGUCAGACGAGAAAUGUUGCCAAAGGCAGUAGUUGCCAUUUAUAUAGUUACUUCAAAAUGAGUUUAAAACACAGUUCUAAUGAUACACCAUACAGAUUCAUAAAUAGCAAACUUAAAGCUACUGACAGUGGUACACCAGAAAACAAAUGUCAUGGUAAUGAAGUGAUGUCGUGAAAUUGUCCCUGGCAUAUUGGCCUUGGCCAUGUCUAGUCCAUCCCAGCAGAGGCCCAUCAGAUCCUCAUCCUGGAAUAGCAUGUGUCAAGAGCAAAGUAAAAUAAACCCAAUUAAUUCUGCUCUGCAACAAAUCAAGAAAAAGUGUAGCAGGCAGA